rnacentral:rRNA from 1 species
GUGAGGAAUAUUGGUCAAUGGGCGGGAGCCUGAACCAGCCAAGUCGCGUGAAGGAAGAAGGAUCUAUGGUUCGUAAACUUCUUUUGCAGGGGAAUAAAGUGCAGGACGUGUCCUGUUUUGUAUGUACCCUGAGAAUAAGGAUCGGCUAACUCCGUGCCAGCAGCCGCGGUAAUACGGAGGAUCCGAGCGUUAUCCGGAUUUAUUGGGUUUAAAGGGUGCGUAGGUGGUUUGAUAAGUCAGCGGUGAAAGUUUGCAGCUUAACUGUAAAAAUGCCGUUGAAACUGUCGGACUUGAGUGUAAAUGAGGUAGGCGGAAUGCGUGGUGUAGCGGUGAAAUGCAUAGAUAUCACGCAGAACUCCGAUUGCGAAGGCAGCUUACUAAGUUAUAACAGACACUGAAGCACGAAAGCGUGGGUAUCAAACAGGAUUAGAAACCCUAGUAGUCC